AUGUAAGCGCAAGCUGACUGCUUAUGCAUGAGCAUUUGUCCGCAGUGUUUCUCAGCAUGCGAGUCAUUAGCCACAUUUGUUUGAGGAUGGCCUUCAGCUCA
rnacentral:rRNA from 1 species